GCGCCCGUAGCUCAGUUGGAUAGAGCGGCGGUUUCCGGAGCCGCAGGUCGCAGGUUCGAAUCCUGCCGGGCGUGCCA
rnacentral:tRNA from 1 species